GGUUCUGUGGCUUAGUUGGUUAAAGCGCCUGUCUAGUAAACAGGAGAUCCUGGGUUCGAAUCCCAGCAGGACCU